rnacentral:rRNA from 1 species
CCUACGGGAGGCAGCAGUGGGGAAUAUUGGACAAUGGGGGGAACCCUGAUCCAGCGACGCCGCGUGAGUGAAGAAGUAUUUCGGCAUGUAAAGCUCUAUCAGCAGGGAAGAAAGAAAUGACGGUACCUGACUAAGAAGCCCCGGCUAACUACGUGCCAGCAGCCGCGGUAAUACGUAGGGGGCAAGCGUUAUCCGGAUUUACUGGGUGUAAAGGGAGCGUAGACGGCGAUGCAAGUCUGAAGUGAAAGGCGGGGGCCCAACCCCCGGACUGCUUUGGAAACUGUAUGGCUGGAGUGCAGGAGAGGUAAGUGGAAUUCCUAGUGUAGCGGUGAAAUGCGUAGAUAUUAGGAGGAACACCAGUGGCGAAGGCGGCUUACUGGACUGUAACUGACGUUGAGGCUCGAAAGCGUGGGGAGCAAACAGGAUUAGAUACCCGGGUAGUC